rnacentral:rRNA from 1 species
UGAGGAAUAUUGGUCAAUGGGCGAGAGCCUGAACCAGCCAAGUCGCGUGAAGGACGACGGUUCUAUGGAUUGUAAACUUCUUUUGUAGAGGAAUAAUGGCAGCUACGCGUAGCUGAGAUGCAUGUACUCUACGAAUAAGUAUCGGCUAACUCCGUGCCAGCAGCCGCGGUAAUACGGAGGAUACGAGCGUUAUCCGGAAUUAUUGGGUUUAAAGGGUGCGUAGGUGGCGUAUUAAGUCAGUGGUGAAAAGCUGCAGCUCAACUGUAGUCUUGCCGUUGAAACUGAUAUGCUAGAGAGGAGACGAGGUAUGCAGAAUGUGUGGUGUAGCGGUGAAAUGCAUAGAUAUCACACAGAACGCCGAUUGCGAAGGCAGCGUACCAGGCUCCGUCUGACACUGAAGCACGAAAGCGUGGGGAUCAAACAGGAUUAGAUACCCUGGUAGUCCACGCAGUAAACGAUGAAUACUAGAUUUUUGCGAUAUACUGUAAGAGUCUAAGCGAAAGCGAUAAGUAUUCCACCUGGGGAGUACGCCGGCAACGGUG